rnacentral:rRNA from 1 species
UACAGAGGUCCCAAGCGUUAAUCGGAAUUACUGGGCGUAAAGCGUGUGCAGGCGGUUAUAUAAGACAGUUGUGAAAUCCCCGGGCUCAACCUGGGAACUGCAUCUGUGACUGUAUAGCUAGAGUACGGUAGAGGGGGAUGGAAUUCCGCGUGUAGCAGUGAAAUGCGUAGAUAUGCGGAGGAACACCGAUGGCGAAGGCAAUCCCCUGGACCUGUACUGACGCUCAUGCACGAAAGCGUGGGGAGCAAACAGG